UUCUCUCUUAUUUUCUCUCCUCUUCUUUCUUUCUCUCUCUUCAUCUCUCUCUUGUGACAGGUAGAUCCCACUAAUGAUGGAUUUCUCCCAUUCUCUCUUCCUCUCUGUGUCCUCAAAUAAACCUCAGUAAAAGAUCGUAAGCUGAUCUGCUUGCUACACAAUGUGUCAGUCCUCAUGCAAGCCUUUGUCGGGCAUCACUAGACUUUAUCAUCAUCAACCUCUCUAUUGUAUUAUCAUUAUCUUGAUCUGACUCUCAUUCAUAAAUUGACCAGUUAGAUUACCUAAUUACACCAACCUGGGUCUCUGGAUCCCGCCACUCACCCUGCUCUAUUCCCUUCAGCUCUUACUCCUAGUUUCCUACAAUUGCCGAUACCUUUUUUUGUUAUUUAACUUGAUUCUAUGUGCAUGUACAAUCAUAUGGACAAGAGAAAGUCCAACAAGGAGGUACUACAUUAUAGUUUUU
rnacentral:lncRNA from 1 species